UUUUUUUUUUUUUUUUUUUUUGGGCAGGAAAUGAAACUGAUCUCACAUAGUAGUUCAAUUUGCCUUUUUCUCUGAAACCUUCCCUAGGCAGUGUACAUCUUGUAUGCCCUGCUUCCCUUUUAGCCAUAUGAAUAUCAUAAAGUGUAAAAGAUGAAAAUGCUUUAAAUUGAUGAUACAUAUUUCGAUCAAUAAUAAGAAAACCUACAUUAUAAAUGUCUUUUCUUAUCCUACAUCUUUUAGGAAAAGAAAUAUCUUUUUAUUGCUCAUGCAAGUGGAUCAAACAAAUUACCGCUGGAGGUGCAUUUCAUAGAAGAGUGAUGCCAUUUCUAACUCUAUUUUCUUCUUUGGCACUUAACACCAACUCCAACCGGGAUUUCAGUUACACUGGUGGCACUGCCCUACAACUAAUUCCCAUUGUCAGGGUUCUGGUUCAUGUUCUUCGACAAAUCCUGUUGUCAUUUCCCACUUUAAGUUGUUCUAUAUGUAUGAUCCUUGCAUGCGACUUUUCACCUUUACCUGGGUUUGAAUUUCACUACGACAGCAAAUCUUUAUAAAUUGGAUCGACUGUAUCCCGUCACUAAUCUUAGGGUUUCUAGUUUCUCAUCUCUUCUCUCUCUGUUUGCUUGUAGCGUUCUCCAUUAACUUAUCCUUCUUCCUCAUUCAUUCCCCUCCCCCCCCCCGGCGGGCCCUGUGGGCAAAAUUUAGUAGUUCUUAGCUCCUCAGGGACUGGGCAUCGCCCCAAAACUUGGAGUGUUAAUGGGGUGUAAGCUUGCUGGAACUCGUGCCUCCACCAAAGCCUCAAUGUAAGUCAGCCUCGCCUUGCACUGGGGCGCACCCUCAGACAUCUCCCAUAAUUGCCUUUGAGAACAGUCAUUGGUGCCUGAUUUUGACUUGUUGAGUUUUCCUGUUUAAGCAUAUUAGAUGCUCAGGUACGCUGGGGUAUGCAGUUUUUAGUAACUAGCCUUAGAAUUUUCCUGGGUAUCAUUUGGAAUCUAAGGCUUCCUUAAUCCGUUUCUGCUGAUGUUCCUCUCAAAGCUGUUGCGCAUGUUAACAUUGCCUCAUGUCAGUCCAGUAUGGUAUGCUUCCCUGUAUGGAAAUCUUACACUGCCUACCCCUAAGUUUGUUCAUCUUGCCGUCUGGUAGGCACCAAGAUUAAGGGCAAAUACAUCUCAUCUUUCUGGCUUUUGGCUAGUUCCUUUCCUCCUUUAUGUGCAUUGUAUGAAGAGAAUAGCAAUAGAUAGAAAACUUAAAGCAAAGACACAAGCAUAACGAUAUGGCAUGCAAAAGCAACGGUUUUUACUUGUAAGUUUUUUUUUUCCUUCCAGCGUUUUUUGGAAAGUCGAAAUGUCAAGUUCAACUUUCCCACUCACUGGGAUAUGGAAUAGUAGCCUAUCUAGCCUUUGGCUAGUGAGGGCUUGUAGGAGAAUUUGACUUCUAGGCAUAGAAUUUUUUAAAAACUAUUAAUUUUAUCCUACUAAUUUGUCAACAUGCCACCACUGACCGGAGGAAAAUGUAGGUAGAAGAAGAUUCAUUUUUUACCCCAUAAUCGGUAAAAAUUCAAUAUUAAAUCAGUGUCUAUGAGUAAUUUCCAUACAAUAUUUAUUAAAAGAAACAAGUGAUAGAUUUUAUGCAUCAUUAAUGAUGACUAUAAGUACAAGUCCAAUUAUUUUAGCGUUUUAAUCUACUAGUUAGUUUUUUUAUAUGCAAUAGUUUGUACUUCGGUGAGUUGUAGAGUAUUAGUGGGUUAUUCGCAUCCUCUUGAAUUGUGUAUUAAUUACUUGCUAUUGCUUACUACGUGUUAAUUAUUGUCACAUACUAUCUAGAGAACUAAAAGAACUUUAUUUUGGCACACUGAACAGUUUUUCUGGCUCUGUCAAUUAUACGGAACUAAAGUAUUUACCAUUUUCCUUGUGCAUGAUGCCAUUCGAGUAGCUAACAUCAGAUUUGUAACCUAGAGGUUUGUUACAGUUUCAGCAUUGCUAAAUGUCCUUUAUAUCUCAGAUAAGAAAAUUGCACCAAAGGCCGCAAAUGAUGUGAAAUUAAUAAGUGCUGGCAAAAUUUUGGAAAACAACAGGACUGUUGGCCAGUGCAAGAUGCCUUUUGGGGAGUUGCCGAAAGGUGUAAUCACAAUGCAUGCUGUUGUGCAGCCAUCUUUAGCUAAAGCAAAGACAGGUUAGUCAAUUUUAUCCGAUUUGUACCUCCAUGCAGUACAAAUUUUGUGCUUCCAAUCUCUGGGUGUUAUUCCAUUGGGUAUCCAAUCGUGAUUUGUGCACACCAAAACUUCACUUCUUAAAAUUAGUAUGUCUAACCUUUUUUUACUGUAGCUUUGUUUUAGCUGAAGACUAGAGAAAUAAAAAUGGUGUAAUUUAUUGUUGUCACAAGUAAUUCUUUGUUCCAGUGUUUGAAGUAGGUUUGUCACGGGAUGUGGCCCAAGAGUGUCUCCGUGGUACUUGAGAUAGCUCAAAUUGUAAUAAAACGCUGGUAAUGUAUGGUUUUCUUUCAGUCUGCCCAUCCUACAUGCAGUUUGGGCUAUAGCUUCUUAGAUCGUACUAAUAGAGAUGAAUUGCUAGUGUAUUGGACAAAUUUACGGCAGUGGACCUGAAAAGAAUUCGUGAAUCACCCUUCUUGUAUAUCAACCUCCUCCCCCUCCCUCUCCAUGUACUUACUUUCUAUAGCCUCCCUGCCCCCACUCACGUUGUAAAGGAACAUUGUGAAAUGGCUAGAAUUUCAGGAUCAUAGUUCAAUAAAACAGGAAUCUCAGAAACGAUUGCUAUAGCGCACUGGACAAACUUACAUGAGUAGACCUGAAAGACUUUCAGAAUCACCUUUCCUGCUUUACUUUGAUCAUUUGUAUGUCAACCUCCUCCCCCUCCCUCUCACAUGUGCUUUCUGUCUGUUGCCUCCCCACCACCACUUGCGUUGGAAAGGAACAUUAGUGAAAUGGCUAUAAUUCAGGAUCAUGGUCCAAUAAAACUAGAACCAACUGUUUUACUAUUUGGAAGUAUUGCUGCAUAAUUUAAAAAUGUUUCUAAGACCUGGAUUUUGCAAUUUUAGUAGGAAUGGUGGGAAUGAUUGGGUUGCAACCACUGAAGGUUAUGAUGUUUUUAUAUUUGUUGCAUCACCCUAGCGGCAGCAUGGAAAUGCUAUUUGUGAUCAAGAACAUUCAAGGACUAAGUCAGUCAUUCAUAAAUCUCAAGUCAACCGCACAAAUGGAACUACCAUUGUAUCUGUACAAAACAACUUGCAUCUUUGCUUGAGUAGUAUUUGUGCCAUUUAACUGGAAACGACAGAUCUGAGGUUGAGAGUCCUAUGACUGAUUGGAGUGUAUUGUGGUGGUGCGUACUGUAAGGCUAUGAAAGUAGGCACGAGAGGGAGGGUUUGGUUUUGCUUAUUGUUUUUCCCUCCUUUAAUUUCUGUUUAAGAGAAAGUUUGCUAAAGUUAUCAAUCGACUUCCGUAAAAGAGAAGUACUUCCUGGUCUUUGGACUUUAUCCAAAUAUAUCUGAUGGAUAACUAAAUAUAAGAUUUGGAGGCGAAGUUUCAACUCCACUAUUACUCCACAGGGUUGUUUUUAGGAAAAAUUACUAAUUAUUGGAUACUAAAUUUAUGAACUUUGUAAAGCAGAAAGGAGCUUGUUCAUUAAACACUUUAACAAUUACUGGAGACUAUUGCUUAAAACGUCUGGAAUCUUAGAGAUUUCGCGCCAGAGUAACAAUUGUAGUAAUUCCAGUGAUGAUGAGGAAAGAUAACAACAUAUAAUCAACAGACAACUUGAGUAUAUCCAAUAUCCUUUUUGCGGGCAGGGGGGGGGGGGUGUUGGGUGGGGAAUAAAGAAUUUGUAAUGUUAAUUUUAGUCGGGCAAGAUCAUUCCUUCCUCUUCGCGUUCUUCCUCAUUUUCACGUGAUGUUCAAUCUCCUUUUCUUCUCUCUGUUUGAAUGACUGCUGAAGGGUAAUUUGUGUGUGUCUAGCAGAAAAGAAGGUUGAGGAGGCUCCAAAGAAAGGCAUCUGUGCGUGUUCAAUAAUGUGAGGUGAAUCUCUUGGGAUCUUUGCGUUUACCUGGUUGUGGAAUUUGUAGUCAGAGAAAACAAUAGUAAUUUGUAAACUGUGUUCACCGCAUUGUUUGGUGUUGCCAUGUUGUUAUGAUGUACGUGUGUUACAUAUGGUACAUUUGUAUUGUGGUAUUUCGUGUACAUUUGUAGCUGCAGAGUUACAGUUUACUAUACAUGAUGAAUACAGGCCAUGUAUGUGGCUGAAGCGAAUACCCUGGAAAAAAGGGCUUUUUUUUGGGGGGGGGGGGGGGGGGAAUACAGGCCAUAUGUGUGUGUGUGUGUGAGUUUACAUCAGCUUCUGUUCUUAGUUCUUACUACUACACGACAAGUCCAACGAGCAAUAUCUCGUCGUGUGGAAGUCCAUUCCUAGGGUCCUUGAUAGGACAGGGUUCCGUUGAUUCCAUUUCAAUGGCGCAUCAAUUGAAUACUACUUGAGGAGAAUUGCCGUUUGAUGAUUCUGUCUUCGUUCCAGACUCAGUCUCGGUACUGUUAUUGUUCUGCGUUUCCGAAGUUAUCAAUGAUAGUUAACAAUAAUGUCACAUAUGAUUGAUCCGAAUUCCCAAAGUUGUCAAUUACUAUAAACACUGGAGGCUCUUUUUAUUCUUUUACUGUAUAACAGAUGUUAGCUCAAACUGAAGAUCAGAACAAGAAUUGCCCUGGCUUGAAAGGAAAGAUUGGGGGCUGGAGAUGGUAGGACUAGGUCUUUUUUCUCUCUUAGUGCUUGCAUACAAGCGAAUUAAGACUAUGAGGAGGACUAGCACUUAAAAUGUAGUAAUGCAGUAGUUACGACCCUUUUCUCGCCGGUGCUCUUCUUCGACAUGACCCAAGGGUAUGAAGAAUCUGAGAUACAAAGACCCAAAAAAAAAAGAAAAGAAAGAUAGGAACGCGACGUAAGAAGGAACAAAGAUGACUAGAAUAGAACAGAGCAAUGCAGAAGCACCGCCAUGAUGAGGAGGAUGAUUCUUACUAGCACCGCCAUGCAGAAGCAGCGACAAUGGCUCUGUCCUGCCAUCCCAACAGCAAGCAACCCUUGUCCUCCGUCAACCUAUACCCCUCGCACGAAUACAACCCUAACAAUAUUUUCGACUGAGUCACCGCGUUCGCGCUCAGCCCCACCCCUCUGUACCCCUUCCCUUCCAUUAUCUUCCUCCAUUUCUCCAACCUCUCGUGCCUCCUUACCCUCUCCCGCCCCUCCUCCGCUACAAUGUUCCUUAUCUCCGGUGCAAAUAUGUACUGCUCCACCUUCGCCCUCUGAGCCGACUCCGCCGGAAAUGUUGCAUCCAGGGAGUCGAAUAUCGCCGAGUAGUAAUGCAGCGCCUCCAGGAAUCUGCCCAAGAAGUAGGGCCCGUUGUGGCUCGCCUCUUGCUCCACGAUGGUCACUAUGUUCGGCGCUUGGUCCCUGAUCAUGCCCAACAGAUUCCCCAAACUGUUCCCUGGGACCCAGUGCAACCGGUUCACCGAGUUCACCGCCAGAGCCUCACCCACCCUCCUGUUCAACAUGUGCGGCUUCAGGUCCUCCAGCUGCUCUCCCACUGGGUGGAACUCGAAUGGGAUGUGGAGGGAGUGGGCCAGCUCAGUCAAACAUCGCCCCGUUUCCCUCACCGCCUCCGGGUAGGGUCCGACUCCGGUUAUCCGAAGGAACGGUGCUCCUCCGGGUCUCGCUGCCAGCGCUUGCAUGAAAGCCGCCACUGGUAACCUUGAAGGAUGUCUAGAUCGAUCACAUGCACUCGCUCUUCGGCUUCAAAGGCCUCGAAGAUGGCUUGGUUGGCCGUGAAAUGAGCAAAUUUGAUGUAAGGGCAGGCUUGGUAGAGGAUCUGGUAGAUCUUGAGGAUUUCCAGCGAGUUUGGGGGGAAAGGGUUAAAGGGCCUGGAGGCGGCAGUAGUAGGUUUGGCCGUGAGGGUUGCUGCGAGUCUUGCUCCCAAGGCUUCCGCGAAGCACGAGGCAACCCGUUGCAUGGAAUCUCCAAGGGGAGUCACCACCCGGUUGAGGUGGUGAAGAUACCUCCUGGCUAACAUGUAGUCUUCUUUGGCGACUGCUUCGGCGCAGGCAAGCAGAAGGUGCACCAAACGGAGUCCGCUAUCCUGUUCCUGUACCAGUACCAACAAGUCAAACAACAGCAGCAGAGUCACGUACAUGCAUCUAUAUAUAUAUAUACACACACACAUCAACCCGCCCGCUAGAGCUAGUUACGAUUUAUUCGAGCUCAUGUAAUUCAAAAGUAACGGAUUCUCUCAAUUACCUGUUCUGGUCCGAUUGAAAGAGGCUGCACCAUCAGGCUGGAAUUCAAGUUCAUCUCUACUGGCGGGGGGUUGGUGGUUCGGUCGAUGAGAUAUUGAUCCUAGCUGCUGUUGCUUUUCUUGCUGCCUUUCCUGUUGCAAUUGCUGGAGUAACGGGGCGGACUCGCCGGAGCUGCUGAAUUGAUAAAUACUACUAGUAGUGGUACUAGUGUCAUUAUCUUCAGUAUCGGCCAUGGAUGCACAAAAUCUUGAGCUGGCAGCAGGAUUUGGCAUUGUCAAGCACUCCAAUAGUUCUGGGACCGAGGAUAAAUCAAAACAGUCGGAGGAACUAAUUCCAGCAAUAUCUGGACCUUUACAGCUGUUUGAGUAGGAACCCCCAAAAUCAUCAUCAUCCUUGUCCAGGUCGUCCAAGAACUCAAGAGCUGGCAAGGAGAGGCUCUCCACCUGCAUAUACUCGUGGUUUGGAGAAUUGAGAACCCUGUGGAGUGGGCUCAGACCUUUACCUUUAUCUCUAUUAUAAGGUCCCAGUGGGGAUGACAUGCGGGGCGGAGAGGGAGAGCACACCAUCAGACUCAGCCCAUGCAUAGCCUGAGCCUGCGCGUGGCUGAAAUUGUAGCUGCUGCUGUUGUUGUUAAUAAUAUCAUGAGUAGUAGUAGUAUUUUGGUAGCCUGAAGCUGCUUGGGGAGCGGGAGAGGAGGAGGGUGCAAUCCUAACUGGGGAAGAGAUCAUAAAAUCCCCCUCCAAUUGAUCUGCAAAGAACUCCCACAAGCAACGGUCAGGGGAUUGAAUCUCAACGUCCUGGUCCGGCUGGAGUUUGAGAGCCGGGAAUUUGAGGCUAGGUGGAACCAGGCUGGUACCAGAUGCGUGAUCGUAUUGGGAGGAAGGAGGGGUAGGUGUCUUUCUUGAUUCUGAAACAGCUGAUUCAUUUGGAGAAGAGGGUCGCAAUUUAGUAGCACAGGAGUUGUCUGAUCUGCUUACUAGACCUUCCAUUAUGGUCGGAUCAGCGGUCUCCUUCUUGAAACUCCCAGCGUCGCAAGUCCGGAGGUUCCCCACCUCACUCUUCAAACUCUCCAUGCUCCCGCACAGAGAAUUUAUCAUUCUUCGCUAGCUGGCCCCCUCCAGUCCAGGCGGGCUCCAACUAUUGGUGGAUGUUAUUACUACUUACAAGGAGGAGGCGGAGGAGGAGGAGGAGGCGGAAGUAGUAGUAUAUGUUUUAUCAGACCAAUUAGUUCAAAGCAGGUGUUUUCCAAUUAAUCUGGUAGGAUUAUUACAGAGCGCUCCCCCUCUCUUAAGCACGAUUCUGGUUGCAGGUAAUAAUUUGCCCACGUACGCACGCAUCAGUCGGUCUGCGUAGGGGCGUUGGUUUUGAAUUUGGAUGGCGAACAAAUAGAGGCAGAGCAGAGAGUUUGGUGUCUCUCUUUCUUUUUAUCGCCCCACGUUUUGGCAUAUUGUCCAGAUUGUAUCGCAAGAAAUUGAAGGUUAAAAAUAGAAAUGUCAAGACAAAAAACUGCAGUUUUAAUUUCAAGUGCUUGGAAGUUACUUGGUGAUGAUGAUGAGCUCCCGCAACGGUUGUUUUCCAGGCGAGACAGUAGUAGUUUUUAUGUACUCGUAUUUCUUUCUUUCUUUCUCUACAGGGAAAAAUGGGCAUUCUAAAAAAGAGAGAGAGGAAAAUACCGCCCGCAACUCACAAAGCUACCUACGUAUUUAACUUUCGCCAUCAACUAUUCAAUCGCGCAAAACAAACCUGUCGGCCGUGGUCCGUCUACGGUUGGGACUUUUUUUUUUUUUUUUUAUGUAUAAACAAAAGCUAUAAUGGUACUUUACUAACAGAUUUUAGCAUUCGGCAUUCUCUUUUUUUUUUUUUUGUUGCAGUGGUAAAAUUUCUAUAAUUUAAUUUAACAUAAUCUAUUUAUUUAUUUAUUUAUUUUUGGGUUAAAAGAUGUAGCAGCGAAUUCGAAGAUGUUAUCACAAAUUAACCAACCAGUACCGUGUUCAUUAACCACAACCGCCCCUUAAAAAUUUUUUAAAAUUUAUUUAAUACGCCACCCAAUACACAGAGAUGAGAUCCUAUUUUUACUUUAAAGAAAAAUGUGAAAGCUGAUACAGCCCUAGCUGAGGCUAGAGACAAUUUGGUGUGAAAUGGGUCCCACUCUCCUUGGGCCGGCCCAUCCAAGAACAAGGUUUCGGGGAUCGAAAAUUUGGUGAUUGGUCGAAGGGGAAUGAUUGGGAAAGGCAGGUCCCGUGCGGAUGGAGAUAUUCCAUCAGUCAUCAUACAUAAUUUAAUGACCAAGAUGAACCUUAACGUAUAUUAUUAUUAUAAAAAAAUUGCGAGGCUACCUUCUUCGGUUUCGCAAUGUCUGCGGGAGGAGAUUUUUGCGGUUAAAAAUUUUGAAAACAAAACACAAAUGGCCCUUCCUUUCAUUGAAUUUGUGUCGUUUUCAGCUCUCACUUGAAUAAGAUUUUACCUAGGGGUGACAAUUGGGGGUGAAAAUUGGCUUCUUUAUCGUAUUCGUAUAGAAAAAUUUCAAUUCUUAUACACCUCAUUAAGUGUUCAUGUCAAAAAAUUUCAAUUCUGAUCCAACUCAUUCAACGUUCCUGUGUUGGCAAAAGUGUUUGCUGACACUAGCCGACUACGGAGAUGGUGGUGGAUUGAGAUAGGGGAAGUAAGAAGAAGAAAUGAAUGAUGGUAAUUGUUUUUGUAUAUUUUUUAGUAUUUUAAAGUGUAUAUUUUAAAAAUUUUAAGAAAUUUUUUGAGAUUAUAGUAAUUAAAACUGUUAAAAAAUUUGUAAGAGAAGCAUUCGGUAAAAAAACUCUUUUUCCAAACAGAUCCAUAACCACUCUUUCAAUUAAAAAUAAAAUAUCAUAUUUGUCAUUCAAUAUAAUUUAAAAACAUAAAAAGGAUAGGCACUUUAAUAAAAGACCAACAUUAGUGGUACUUCCCUUCCAAAACUCCCAAACAAGGGAUAAUUUCAGAAACCUUCCUUGAAAUUUUUGACUAUUUUACUGGCCUUCUUUCAAAUUUUAAAAAUUACUCUAAUUUCCUUUGAGAUUAAUUACAUUGUAACAUUUAGACCCAAUCGAUAAUUAAAAAGUGAUAUUAGAAGAGAGAAGAUAAUAUAAUUUCAUCAUUAUCCCUCAUCUAUUACAUUAUUUAAUUAAUUUAAUCGUAAUCCAUACAUUAAAAAAUGUACUAAAUUUUGAUGUUUAUCAUUAGGGAUCAAAUCAUAUAUAGUAUCAAAAAAGUAGUAUAUCUUUUUUUAUUUUUCACUUAAUACAAUAUCCAAAUUACACUUUUCAAUUACAUACUCAUUAUCAAACAUAAUCAACAAUAAAUAAUCAAAAAAUUUGCAACCAAAAUAUUGCAGAGAGCAAAUUUUAACAUCAUAAAUAUUCUUGUGUAGUUGUUGAAAUUUUUAUGGUAUUAAACUUCACAUUUUGUAAUAUUUUAGUUACAGAUUUUUUUAUUAUUAUUUGUAGUUGAUUAUGUUUGAUAAUGACUUUCUCACUAAGAAGAGCAAUUUAUAUCUUAUAUUAAUUAAAAUAUACAGAAUGAUAUACUAUUUUUGAUGUCAUAUGUGAUUUAAUCUCUAAUGAUAAACAUCAAAUUCUAUUAUUUUUUUAUUAAUGCUUGGACGGGUAUUAGAUUAAUUAAAUAAUUUAGUAAAUCAAGAACAACAAUGAAAUCAUAUUAUUUUCUCUCUUUUAUAUUAUUUUUUAAUUGUUGGUUGGAGGUAUAUAUCACAAGAUAAUAAAUCUCAAGAGAGAUUAGUGUAUUUUUUUAAAAUCUAAAGGGAGCCCAGUGGAAUAGUUAGAAACUUUAGGGACGUUUAUGAAAUUAUCCCCAAGCAACUAGGGUUUCUCUGCACUUCCAUUCUCUGCUUUUCUUUUUUAAUUUAACCUUUCUCAUCUUUUCUUUUCUAUCCUAAACUCCCAAACUAAGCCCUAGGGUUUUUGACGUCGCGCCGUCGUUUCUCCAAACCCCUCAGGCAACGAAAUGGUAAGGCGGCUCUUCACCACCAAGUUAUUUCUGUCUUCUCGAUGAUGAUUGUUGCUGAUACACAUAUAUGCAGAUGCUGCAUUCUAAUUUCCAAUCUUUCGUUUGGUUUUGAAAAAACCGACAACUCUCUGACAUUUUGAUUCCUUUGUGUUGUCAUUGAUGGAUGAUUUUUUUGUUUUGAAGGCUCCAAAGAGAGGUGCGAGGGCUCCAGCUGCAGUGGCGAGGAGGAAAACCGAGAAGGUGGCGAAUCCUCUGUUCGAGAAGCGUCCGAAGCAGUUCGGAAUUGGAGGAGCCCUCCCACCGAAGAAGGAUCUCACCAGGUUCGUCAAAUGGCCUCUCAACGUCCGGAUCCAGAGGAAGAAGAGGAUCCUCAGGCAGCGCUUGAAGGUUCCUCCGGCGCUCAACCAGUUCUCCAAGACUCUCGACAAAAAUCUUGGUCACCUCUCCCUCACUCGCUUUUUAUUUAUUAUGUUGUUUCCCUUUUUUCUUAAUGUUAUAAUAUGAUUUUUAUCGGGACUCUGAGUUCUUCACCUUGAUUGCACCAUCUUGACAACCCUGGUCUGGUAUUUUACUGCUAUAAAGAAAAAUCCAGUUAUUUUCUUGACAUAAAUCUGUGCUCUCUCGCAUAUUGAUCACCUAUUGCAUUUGUAAUCCUACUUCAAAUGCUUACUCAUUCUUAUUCUCCCCCCCCCCCGGGCGGAUGAUUGCGUAGAAUAGGAUCCCAUGGUUGAGCAGGGCAAACGGUGUUGCUGUGACUAAAUAGGAAAUGAAAUCUUUACGUAAAUUUAAAAAUCAUUCUUUUAUGGUUCUUAUCCAACUCGAUAUGCCAGAUGUGGUAAAUAGAAAGAAAUUGAGGUUGCUCGGAGCAUAAUAUUUGUACAUGGUAACUGUAGUUUGUUUUCCCCUAUAAUCUCUUGGAUUACUAGAAACUGAGUCGUAAUGUUUUGCUCUAUCUGUUGUCAUGAAAUUGGUAAAAGCUAAUAAUUUGCUGUGGUAGAUUUGAGGGAGUCUCUAAUUUUGUCCCUAUUUUAUUAAUACCAGUCAAGGAGAUAUCUUGUUUCCUUUCGGGGUUGCCAUUUCACUGCUUCGUUUUUUCUCUUGCCAAUGUAUGUAUUUUCUGAUGCUUCCUUUGAUAUGCAGCAACAAAUCUGUUCAAGAUGCUUCUCAAGUACAGGCCUGAGGACAAGGCAGCCAAAAAAGAGCGUCUUCUCAAGAGAGCUCAAGCUGAGGCUGAAGGGAAAGCUUCUGAUGCUAAGAAGCCAAUUGUUGUCAAAUACGGUUUAAAGCAUGUGACGUACCUUGUUGAGCAGGUCUUUAUCCUACUUUUCUUCUAUACUCUGUUGGUUUUCUGUAGUGUCUCACUCUUGGUAGUGCAAGCUGUGGCUCAUAGAAAUUAUUUUCUGCAGAACAAGGCACAAUUGGUGGUUAUUGCUCACGAUGUGGACCCAAUUGAGUUGGUUGUUUGGCUUCCUGCUUUGUGCAGAAAGAUGGAAAUUCCCUAUUGUAUUGUGAAGGGAAAAUCGCGAUUGGGAGCGGUAAGUUUCCCUCUUUGUGGAGCCUUUUUGGAAGCUUUUAUUGUAGCCAGGACUGAUGUAAUUCACACUCUCUCGCAGAUUGUUCAUAAGAAAACUGCAUCAGUCUUGUGCCUGACCUCAGUGAAGAAUGAAGAUAAGUUGGAGUUCUCGAAAAUUUUGGAGGCCAUUAAGGUGAUGCAUAAUUUCGUAGGGGUUGUACAAGUAAUGAUAUUUCCUUGCCUUAAAAACUCAUCUGACAUUAUGAUUUCUCCUGACAGGCUAACUUCAACGAUAAGUAUGAGGAGUACAGGAAAAAGUGGGGUGGUGGAGUCAUGGGGUCCAAAUCUCAAGCAAAAACCAAGGCGAAGGAGAAGCUUCUUCAAAAGGAAGCCGCUCAGAGGAUGUCUUAGAAAGAGCGAUUUUCCUCCUUGUCCUGAUUUUUAUUUGCGGCUUUAGAUUUUUUGCUUCUGACAUACAUAUGUAUUUUUGGUAGACAUUUAUUUGGCAUGUUUGAUUAUCAAAACUUCGUGCAAUAGUUAAAUUUUGUGUUGACUGCUUGCUUUAUGAAUGGUAGUUGUUUCCUUGAGUUGUGGCUAAUGGUAUCGGAGAACCAUAAAUGAUGUUGGCCGAGUUUAUAAUUGGCAUUGAGCGCGGUUUGGUUGGUCAUAUUUGGGCCGCUUGACUGGUGAGAAAGAACUGUGUGUUAAGGACCUGCGGACUAGUUUGAGAGUUUAGGAAGGGAAAGAGAAAGAAGGCAAAACUUUUAAUGGGGAGAGAGGGGAAGAGAGUAUCUCUCUUAAGUUGUUUGGGAGUAUUGGCUGGAAAAUGUCAUAAUGUUGGACCUUUGCUCAUGUUCCAUUCUCGUUGUCUGUUUGAAUUAUAUGUCAGGGACAAAUAUGAGGUUUAAUAGUUCCCUUAUUUAAGUGUUCAUUCCACCUCUUCCCGCUAAUGGGAGGGGAAAAAAGUGGGAGUGGGUAGGCUUAAGAAUUCUUCCACUUCUCUUGGGAAAUGUUUAUUUAUUUAGUUUGGGAGAAUGAAUGUUUAUUUUUCCCUUUGAAAUAUAAACAUUUUCAUUAAAACAUUUAGUACCCAAUAAGCCAAUUGAUUUUUUUAUGAGGCUGAAAAUGCCAAAUGGGCAUUGAGGUCGUGGAUCUCCCUGUAAAGAUGAAUCAGGGAGAUCUGUCUGGUCUUGAGAGGCUGGUCAGCAUGCAGCUUAUUUGGUUGCUUAGAUGGAUAUUCUUCUUAAAUUGAGAAGAAAGAAUCACGAUCAGGAAUUGGGUAUGUCUACUACCGCCGGCUGCUCUGAUAUCAAGAUUCCCUGUUGCAACUAGUCUUCCGUUCUUGCCUGUCACUGAACUGAAUUUCGCAAGAUCGUGUCGUCCUCUCUGCUAUGUUUAGUGAAUUUAAUUGUUUGUCAAUAAUCGCCCUAAGGUCAAUGCGGGUGGAGACUGCUGAUGCUACUAUACCACCAAGGAUAUGCUCUAGCUUGCAAAAUGGAUCAACUUAGGACCCUCUUAGGGUUGAAAUCACAUGUUACAAAGUAAUACAUAGGCUACUAAGGAAGUUAAAUCCCAUUUUCACAGUUUGUAAAGCUUAGAUUACGCAGAAAGAGUUGAUUAAUACGAGAUCCUCGUAUUACCCUUUGUGCGGAGAUAUAGAUCAUGCUCAAUCUCUCUAGUUGGCUCAGCAUGAUGGUUUUAAAAAAUAAGAGAUUAAGCAGGGGACACAGCCAAAAGUUUUAGCCUCAGUUUCAGCACUGAUCAUUGUGCAUAUUUACAUGACAACAGUGAGACAUAUAUAAUACACGUCAAUAAUGAGAUUAAAAAUAGUGAGAUACACAUAUAUACAAACCUACUCAGCUAUUACAGAUUAAACAAUUUACGUUUCAUUUUAUUCUUCACAAAAUCUAGAGCUACUUGGAUACAAGCCAAAUUAAAUGCCAGUUCUCGCUUUUCUUUCUGCUUGGCCUGGUGCUGGUUGGAAAAAAAAAAAAAAGGAAUAAAUGGCAGAGAUAACUCUUUAGGUAUUCGACAGCAGUACUUCCCCUGACCGCGAGAGGACGAUGUAUUAUCCUGAAGGAGGAUAAACAUUGGAUCAUUGUCAGAAAGACUAAGCUUGUUUUGAACUGUCUUGUUUACUUUUAACUGGUUUUAGCUGAUUUUAAGCUAAACAAAGUCAAUCAAGGUAAGGCAGCCUUUUUCCAACAAUGGCUUCUCUUUGAGUAGCUUAGAAAGGUUUGAGCAGAUUAGGACAGGCCCUAAAAGCAUUAAGACUUAAACUGGUGAUUGCCACAUGUAUUCCAAUUUUACCACCUCAAGAAAAAGCCCACUUCAGCCCUUGCUACCGCAAUGAUCAAAGAGUUUUGACAAAGCAACAACUGUUUUAGCAAGGACUAGGUACCUCGAGUGCCAUGGUGCUUGAGGUUCUCAUUUUCCUUGGUUUGAAAUUCUUGCCAACAGCAGAAAACAGUGAAAAAGGGGGAAAAAAAUCUCACACUAUGCAAAGCCAAGAUAAGCGUACAAGCCAAAAGAAGAUCCACCUACAUAGGCUACAUUCCCUGGACAAGCCGCCAAAAGACUUUCACGCGGCAAUUUCUUCAAGAACUACUAAACAGAUCUCAUUCUCAGUCAAUUGAACUACUAACGGUUGCGGAUUUCACAAGUUGGAAAUACCGUCAGUCGAUGAAUUGAAUGUGCAAGAGAAAAGGCGGUGAGGAAUUGGUACAGGGCCAGUUUAGCUUCGAGUAGGUCCUCGGCUUGUAAUAUCCCUGGUUCCAGAACCACAUCCGACGGGAUAGAAAUCAAAUCAAGGGCAAGCAAAUACGUCCACCUACAGCCUUAACGCUUUGAAUUAUGGACCCUCUUCGAGAAACAUUGCCUUGUGCGAGAAUUAAUUACGUAGUAACUAGUUGAUAACCCUUCUCAUCUUAAUUUUACUAGUCAUUUUACUCUUGUUACUGCCAUUGGCUGCUGCCUUUUUGCCCCAUUCUUUGUCGCCAAUCUAGCAACUGCAGUCUACAGCCAAAAUGCAGUUUCUGUGAUAACCCUAAUUUGCAGCAUUUCUGCUAGAGAUACAAAAAAUACGAUUUACGUAACUUUUUUAUCCUUUUUUUUUUGCUGUACUAUGCUUUUAAUACCAUUUCAGUAGUUACGUAUUUGCCGCUGAAAAAGGAUUAUUUCCUCUUAGGUAAAGUUUAUCUUUUUGCUGUUUGGAUUGCAAAUUUAUCUCAAAUAAUAUUUCGCUUGUAUCAUAAACACAUCUCACAAUCCACCUUUUUAUAUUCUCAACUACUUUUUAUCUCACAUACAUCACAUCACAAAAAGUGCUACAGUAAUUAUUCCAAAUAAUAUUUCAAAUAAUACUCUAUCCAAACACAUGUAUACAUUUAGUAAGUGCUUCAACAUCUAAAUACGAUUAGAUUAUAAACCUUUGUGACAUAUGCGGGGGAUCACUCAAUUAUUCAUAUCUCCAACCGUAAUAAUCACAACGAGUUGAGUUCUAACAUUAUUACUGAUUACAUUUUCCAAUCAAAGAAAUUCAGACGGCAAUUAAACAUGAGUUUCAUGUUGAUGUGUCAUAUAAGAAGGCCUGGUAUGCUCAACAACAUGCCAUUAAUAUCGUGUAUGGCUAUUUGCCCACCUCCAUAGUUAAACUUUUUAUAUAUAUACGGGAAUUAGUGACGGUAAAUCUAAGCAUGUCUGUAGUUUGGAAAUACCAUCCACAUAGUAUUAUUGGCUGCACAAUUUUUCACUUUGUGUUUUGUGCGUUUGACAGCGCCAUCCCAAUUGCUACCAAUUAAUGCAUGCAUAUAGUAUUUUUUUUUUUUUUCGAUACGAUAGCUUCCUACAUUAUGGAGAGGGGGAGGACCUGAAGAAGUUCUGGGGUAAGCCGGAGGGGACUGAACCACCAUCGGACCAGACGGGUGCAUCUGAAUUUUUUAAGCAAUGCCACAUUUAAUUGUGACAAAUUAGUGAGAGGCAAGAUUUGAAUCCUUGCCUCCCAUCCCACCAAGUUUUAAUGCAUUGGUGGUGGCCGCUUGCCCAAAGGCUAGUGGUUAAUGCAUGCAUAUAGUAUACACUUUCAAUAAUUUUAGGGUUUAUGUGAUAUUUUUAACAUUUUAAGGACACUAAGUAAAAUUAUCAAAAACCUCAAGUGAGAUUUCUAAAAUUAUCCCCAGUAUAAAAACAGGAGUUGUGGGGUUUGUGGAGCGGAUUGUGGAUUUUUGUUGGGUUGAAAAAGAGAGUGUGGGUAGCUAUUAGCUUUUUUACAUCGCCAUCUGUAUGCUGUUCCGAAUGGCUACAGGUUCUGCAAAAUUUUCCACACAGCACAUACAUUGGAGAUGCAACUGCCUUACCACUCCACAAGAUUUGGGACAAGAGGCACAUUGACGAAUGAAUUUCAUACCGAAAUAUUUUUUUUCAUGUAAAACUUCCCUAAUUUCUAUUAUUAAAAUUUCUCACUUCAAAUUUCAUGACACUCUAGGAUGAUUUUUUUUGCAUUUUUUAGUAUUUUAAAGUGUAUAUUUUAAAAUUUUUUAGAAAUUACUGUUAUUAAAGUUGUUAAAAGACUUGUAGGUUAAAACUUUGAUAAAAAAACUCCUUUGCCAAACAAGCCCAUAACCAAUCUUACAACUAAAAAUGAAAUUUCAUAUUUGCCCUUCAAAUAUAAUUUAAAAACAUAAAAAGACAAGCACUUUAGUAAAAGACCAACAGUAGUGAUGUUUCCAUUCCAAAACUCCUAAACAACGCAGUUAGGGUUUUUAAAUUUUUUAUAACAUACUCAAUCCAAUUCAAAUUAUAUGAUUAAAAUACUCAUUUUAGGAAAUAGAAAAUAAUUUCUUUCCAAUAAUGUCCUUUUAUUGCCUUAAUUUUUUUAAUUGUUCGUGUAAUAAUCAUAUGUUAAAAAUAAGGACAAAAACUAUGAAAAUGUUCUUUUUUUAAAGGAACAAUGUAUAAUAAUUGCAACCAUAAACAAUAUAUAUUUUUUUAAAUACAAACAAAUAAUAAAAUUUUAUUUAACAUGUUUUCAAAUUACAAAGUAAUUUUUUCCUUUAAGCUUUGUCUAUUUGGUACUUCACGGUCACGUAGGAAGAAAGAAACCCGAUAUUAUUCUGAUUGUUUAUUUGACAAAAAUGUAGAAUUCUUCUACAAAAGUGUUGCAAUUAAGGAGGCUAGUUAAAAUCUAAAAACUUUAGAAUUUAUCCAACCUUUAUUUAUCCAUAUGUUUAUCACAUGCCCUUAGAUUAUUAAAUGAGAAAAAUCUUUCUUUUUAUGUAACAUAUUUUGUUUGAAAUUAAUAAAAUUUAUGAACUAUUUAAAAUAUUUAAUUUUUAUUUAUUUGAAUCAAUGGCUUGAAAAUUUAGAAAAGGGGAAAAUUUUUAAAUUAUAUUAUAGAAUUUAUUUGAGAUAUUUAGAAGAUGAAAAAGUUAUUUUUUCCAUAUCUUUACAAUAUUUCAAAUAGUUUUUAAAUACUUUGUUAAUUAUUUAUUAUUUUCCAAUUUAAAAUUUUGUCUCCAAAUUAUAGAUAAGAUUUGUUAAAAAAUUUCUUAACUCUAAACAUAUAAUUUUUUUACUAAAAAACACAUCCAUCAAGUUUUCAAAUAUGAAAGGAUUUUAAAUUGAUUUGUGAUUACAACUAAGGAAUCACAUAAAAAGGCAACUUUGGAAUGAAAUAAUUUUCUCUUUCCUAAACAUGGUAUUUUAAUGAUAUAAUUUGAAUCGGGUUGAAAAUGUUACAAAAAUUUGAAAAUAAGGGGAUAAGUGAUAUUUUUAAAAAUUUAAAGGUGUUAAAUAAAAUUAUAAAAAAUCUCAAGGAGAUUUCUUAAAUUAUCCCCAACAUAAAAACAAGAGGUGUAGGGUUUGUGGAAUGGAUUGUGGUUUUUGUUGGGUUGAAAAAAAAGGUGAAGGUAGUCUUUGUAAUCUGUUUGGAUGGAAGGAAAAGAAAGAAGAAGAAAGGAUUUGGAGAAAAAAAUUUGAAAAUCAUAAGUUUGGGAGUUUUUAAACGGGAGAAUGAAAAGGAAAAUAAUGGAAAUGAAAGGAUUCUUUUCCUUUUAAAACACCUACUAACUUUUUCGACCAAAAGUGGGAUGAAAUGGAAGGAAAACUCAACCACUUUUGCAACUAAAAAUUAAAUAUCAUAUUUGCCUUCAAAUAUUAUUUAAAAACAUAAAAAGGAUAGGCACUUUAACAAAAUAGCAACAUUAGUAAUGUUUCCUUUCCAAAACUCCCAAACACGGGAUAAUUUCAGAAACCUUCCCUGAGAUUUGUGACUAUUUCACUCGCAUCCCUACAAAUUUUAAAAAUUACACUAAUCUCUCUUAAGAUUAAUUACAUUGUAACAUUUAGGCCUAAUCGAUAAUUAAAAAGUGAUAUUGGGAGAGAGAAAAUAAUAUGAUUUCAUCAUUACUCCUCAUCUACUACAUUAUUUAAUUAAUUUAAUCCUAACCCACACAUUAAAAAAAGCACUAAAAUUUGUUAUUUAUCAUUAGAGACUAAAUCACAUAUAGUAUCAAAAAAUAACAUAUCAUUUUAUAUUUUUCACUUAAUACAAGAUCAAAAUUACACUUUUUAGUUACAUAUUUAUUGUCAAACAUGAUCAACAAUAAAUAAUCAAAAAAUUUGCAACCAAAAUAUUACAGAGAAUAAACUUUAACAUCAUAAAUAUUCUUGUCAAUAUAAUAAAGUUAGUUGCUGAAAUUUUUAUGGUAUUGAACUUCGCAUUUUGUAAUAUUUUGGUUACAAAUUUUUUUGAUUAUUUGCAAUUGAUUAUGUAUGAUAUUGGUUUUGUGACUAAAAAGAGCAAUUUAUAUCUUACAUUAAUUAAAAUAUAUAUAAUGAUAUAUUAUUUUUGAUACCAUAUGUGAUUUGAUUUCUGAUGAUAAACCUUAAAUUCUAAUAUUUUUUUGUUAAUGUUUGGACGAGUAUUAGAUUAAUUAAAUAAUUUGGAAAAUUAGGGGCAAUGGUGAAAUCAUAUUAUUUUCUCUCUUCUAUAUCAUUUUUUAAUUGUUGAUUGGACGUAAAUGUUACAAGAUGAUAAAUCUCAAGAGAGAUUAAUGUAGUUUUUAAAAUCUAAAAAGAGACCAGUAAAAUAAUCAGAAACUUUAAAGGAGGUUUCUGAAAUUAUCCCCAAACAACUAGGGUUCUCUUCAAUUCUUUUCUUUGCUUUUCAUUUUUAAUUAACCUUUCUAAUCUUUUCUUUUCUAUCCUCAACUUCCAGAGGCUUUGUUUGGGAGCUGAGAAUUUGGUCCAGAAUGUUUGGAUAGAAUAUUAUUUGGAAUAAUUACUGUAUUACUUUUUUUGAUGUGAUGUAUAUGAGAUAAAAAUGUUAUUGAAAAUAUAAAAAGAUGGGUUGAAAAAUGUGUUUAUAAUGCAAAUAAAAUAUUAUUUGAAAUAAUCUGCUAUCCAAACACUUCCUUAGUUUUCCUUUUUUUUGUUAGUUUUUAGUAAAAAAAGAAAAGAAAGGAAAUGGGAGAAUUUCGAAGGAUAAAAAGUAGCCAAAAUUUUUCCUUCCAAAUUGGACGAAAAUGAAAAGAAAUUUUGAGGAAACUUGUCAAAUUUUUUGAAAAUGCCCAUUUUAUCCUUAAAAUGGUUUUGAAUAAAUAUUUAAUGACUUUCAUAUCCAAAAUCAUUUUACUAAUUCUAAAAACUCCCAAAUAAUAUAAGGAAAAUUUGCCAAUUUGGUCCCUAGCAUUUUCACAAAAAAAACUUUUUUAGUCCCCAACAUUUAAAAUCAUCCAGAAUCGUUCCUAACAUAUAAAUUAUGAUCCAUUUUGAUCCAAAUGCUCGUAUUUACUCAUUUUUCCGACUGAAAAUAGCACGUCUCUCUCACGUGGGCAUAUUUUUAAGAGUAAAAUCAAAAAACAGCACUUCAUUUCCGAUUGAAAACAAAAGUAUCUCUUUUCACCUUUCCCCCUAAAACUACAGUUACAUAAAACUGUGCCGCCACCGCACACCCCCUGCUGCCUCUCCCGUCAUCUGUAAUCAUAUCACCCCCUCCUCCCCUACAAGCAUCACCUUCCUCUCCCUUUGGCACAGCACCUCCCUCUCCAACUCUUUCACCUUCUCCUCCUCUACCAAUUGUAGUUUCAUCACUAUCUAUCUCAGUUUCUCCACCUCAUCCCACUAUAGAGUCACAACUCACCACCCAUCCCUCUCCUGCAUUACCUCCUGUAUCGCCACUUGCUUCUUCCCAAGUUCCAUCCUUGUUAAAUCCCCCUUCCACUUUCGAUUGCAUCUCCUCUUUUCAUCACCACAUCUCUUAUUCCACAUUCUCUCCCUGCCUCCCGGAAUAAUACAUCCCAAACUGAUGCUCCAAUUAGCUCAGCCUUACUAGCAAUUGUCCCUGAGAAACCCACUACAAGAUCAACUACAUCUGCUCCAAAUAUUAAUGCAAUCACAAUAUCCAGAAAUGGUGGGGGCAUGAAGGGCAAAGUUGUUAUGGCUAGGGCUGCAAACGAAUCGAGCCGCUCGCGAGCGGCUCGAGUCAAGCUCGAGUUGAGCUCGAUUAAUAUCGAGCUCGAGCCGGCUCGAGUCAAACUCGAGCUCGAACUCGAGCUCAGAAUAUUAAGCUCGUUAGCUUGCGAGCCUUGAGUAUAUAUAUAUAUAUAUAUAUAUAUAUUUUAUUUUUUUUAUUUAAUAAUAAAAUUACGUAUAUUAUAUAUAUUUUUUUUAUUUCAUAGUAAAAUUACGUAUAUAUCCUUAAUAUUUUAUUAUUUAUUAACAAAAAAAAUAUUAUUUUAUUAUUUAUUAACAAAAAAUAUUAUUUUAUUUAUUUUUUAAUAAAUAAAAUAAUUUUUUUUUAUUUUUUCGAGCGUUUGAGUCGAGCUCGAGUUCGAAAUUGCCGGCUCGUCGAGUUCGAGCUUGGUAAAAUUCAGUCGAGACUCGACUCGAUUAGCUCAAAACUCGACUCGACUCGUUUGCAGCCCUAGUUAUGGCAAUUGAAUUUGUGGGCUUUGUAGCAAUUGGUCUUGUGGUGCUUGGUGUUUGGUUGGCACGAAAGCAAAAGAAAAAAGGGCCCUAUUCAACAUUAGGUAUAUAAUACCUUCUCCAUAUGCUUCCUCCCAAAAUUCAGGGAGAAAACUAGAGUUUUUUAUGACUGUAAUUUUAGGAAAAAAAGUGAAAAAGGUUACUUUUACUUUCAAUCGAGAAUGAAGUGUGUUUCCCGAUUUUGCCCUUAAAAAUAUGCUCACGUGAGAGAAGCGUGCUAUUUUCAGUCAGAGAAAUGAGCAAAUAAGAGCAUUAAGACCAAAAUGGAUCAUAAUUUAUAUGUUAGGGAUGAUUCUGAUUGAUUUUAAAUAUUGGGUACUAAAAAAGUUUUUUGUGAAAAUAUUAGGAACCAAUUUGGCAAAUUUCUCAUAACAUGAGUCUUUCCUUCCUAUUCUUCCUAUUCUCUUCUCGUCUCUCGUAACUUGAGUCUUUCCUUCUCUUCUUUUUCUAUCCUAAACUCCCAAACUAAGCCUAGGGUUUUUGGCGCCGUCGUUCUCCAAACUCCUCGGCAAAGAAAAAUGGUAAGGCGGUUCUUCGCCACCGAGUUAUUUCUGUGUCAUCGAUGAUGAUUGUUGCUGAUACACAUAUAUGCAGAUGUUGGAUUCUAAUUUCCAAUCUUUCGUUUGGUUUUGAAAAAACCGAUACUUCACUGACAUUUUGAUUUCUUUGUGUUGUCAUUGAUGGAUGAUUUUUUUUGUUUCGAAGGCUCCAAAGAGAGGUGCGAGGGCUCCAGCUGCAGUGGCGAGGAGGAAAACCGAGAAGGUGGCGAAUCCUCUGUUCGAGAAGCGUCCGAAGCAGUUCGGAAUUGGAGGAGCCCUCCCACCGAAGAAGGAUCUCACCAGGUUCGUCAAAUGGCCUCUCAAUGUCCGGAUCCAGAGGAAGAAGAGGAUCCUCAGGCAGCGCUUGAAGGUUCCUCCGGCGCUCAACCAGUUCUCCAAGACUCUCGACAAAAAUCUUGGUCACCUCUCUCUCCCUCACUCGCUUUUUAUUUAUUAUGUUGUUUCCCUUUUUUCUUAAUGUUAUAAGAUGGUUUUUAUCGGGACUCUGAGUUCUUCACCUUGAUUGCACCAUCUUGACAACCCUGGUCUGGUAUUUUACUGCUAUAAAGAAAUAUCCAGUUAUGUUCUUGACAUAAAUCUGUGCUCUCUCGCAUAUUGAUCACCUAUUGCAUUUGUAAUCCUACUUCAAAUGCAUACUCAUUCGUAUCCUCUUUCCCCUGAUGAUUGUGUAGAAUAGGAUCCCAUUCCUUUUUCCCUGAUCAUUAUUGGUUGAGCAGGGCAAACGGUGUUGCUGUAACUAAAUAGGAAACGAAAUCUUUACGUAAAUUUAAAAAUCAUUCUUUUAUGGUUCCUAGCCAACUGGAUAUGCCAGAUGUGAUAAAUAGAAAGAAAUUGAGGUUGCUCGGAUCAUAAUAUUUGUACAUGGUAACUGUAGUUUGUCUUCCCCUAUAAUCUCUUGGAUUACUAGAAACUGAGUCGUAGUGUUUUGCGCUAUCUGUUGUCAUGAAAUUGGUAAAAGCUAAUAAGUUGCCUUGGUAGAUUUAAGGGAGUCUCUAAUUGUGUCCCUAUCUUAUUAAUACCAGUCAAGGAGAUAUCUUGUUUCCUUUUGGGGUUGCCAUUUCGCUGCUUCGUUUUUUCUCUUGCCAAUGUAUGUAUUCUCUGAUGCUUCCUUUGAUAUACAGCAACAAAUCUGUUCAAGAUGCUUCUCAAGUACAGGCCUGAGGACAAGGCAGCCAAAAAAGAGCGUCUUCUCAAGAGAGCUCAAGCUGAGGCUGAAGGGAAAGCUUCUGAUGCUAAGAAGCCAAUUGUUGUCAAAUACGGUUUAAAGCAUGUGACGUACCUUGUUGAGCAGGUCUUUAUCCUACUUUUCUUCUAUACUCUGUUGGUUUUCUGUAGUGUCUCACUCUUGGUAGUGCAAGCUGUGGCUCAUAGAAAUUAUUUUCUGCAGAACAAGGCACAAUUGGUGGUUAUUGCUCACGAUGUGGACCCAAUUGAGUUGGUUGUUUGGCUACCUGCUUUGUGCAGAAAGAUGGAAAUUCCCUAUUGUAUUGUGAAGGGAAAAUCGCGAUUGGGAGCGGUAAGUUUCCCUCUUUGUGGAGCCUUUUUGGAAGCUUUUAUUGUAGCCAGGACUGAUGUAAUUCACACUCUCUCGCAGAUUGUUCAUAAGAAAACUGCAUCAGUCUUGUGCCUGACCUCAGUGAAGAAUGAAGAUAAGUUGGAGUUCUCGAAAAUUUUGGAGGCCAUUAAGGUGAUGCAUAAUUUCGUAGGGGUUGUACAAGUAAUGAUAUUUCCUUGCCUUAAAAACUCAUCUGACAUUAUGAUUUCUCCUGACAGGCUAACUUCAACGAUAAGUAUGAGGAGUACAGGAAAAAGUGGGGUGGUGGAGUCAUGGGGUCCAAAUCUCAAGCAAAAACCAAGGCGAAGGAGAAGCUUCUUCAAAAGGAAGCCGCUCAGAGGAUGUCUUAGAAAGAGCGAUUUUCCUUGUCCUGAUUUUUAUUUGCGGCUUUAGAUUUUUUGCUUCUGACAUACAUGUGUAUUUUUGGUAGACAUUUAUUUGGCAUGUUUGAUUAUCAAAGCUUCUGCAAUAGUUAAAUUUUGUGUUGACUGCUUGCUUUAUGAAUGGUAGUUGUUUCCAUAAAUGAUGUUGGCCGAGUUUAUAAUUGGCAUUGAGCGCGGUUUGGUUGGUCAUAUUUGGUCCGCUUGACUGGUGAGAAAAAACUGUGUGUUAAGUAUCUGAGGACUAAUUGGGUAUGUCUACUACCGCCGGCUGCUCUGAUAUCAAGAUUCCCCGCCCUUAACAUUCCCUUGUUGCAACUAGUCUUCCGUUCUUGCCUGUCACUGAGCUGAAUUUCGCAAGAUCGUGUCGUCCUCUCUGCUAUGUAUAGUGACUUUAAUUGUUUGUCAAUAAUCGCCUUAAGGUCAAUGCGAGUGGAGACUGCUGAUGCUACCAUUCCAAGGAUAAGCUCUAGCAUGCAAAAUGGAUCAACUUAGGACGCUCUUAGGGUUGAAAUCACAUGUUUAAAGUAAUACCAAGGCUACUAAGGAAGUUAAAUCCCAUUUUCAAAGUUUGUAAAGAUUAGAUUACGCAGAAAGAGCUGAUUAAUACCAGAUACUCGUAUUACCCUUUGUGAGGAGAUAUAGAUCAUGUUCAAUCUCUCUAGUUGGCUCAGCAUGAAGAUUUUAAAAAAUAAGAGAUUAAGCAGGGGACACAGCCGAAGUUUUAGCCUCAGUUUCAGCACUGGUCAUUGUGCAUAUUUACAUGACAAUAGCGAGACAUAUAUACACAAACCUACUCAGCUAUUAUUACAGAUUAAACAAUUUACGUUUCACUUUAUUCUUCACAAAAUCUAGAGCUACUUGGAUACAAGCCAAAUUAAAUGCCAGUUCUCGCUUUUCUUUCUGCUUGGCCUGGUGCUAGUUGGAAAAAAAAAAGAAAGGAAUAAAUGGCAGAGAUAACUCUUUAG
rnacentral:lncRNA from 1 species